ACUCCUACGGGAGGCAGCAGUAAGGAAUAUUGGUCAACGGACGCAAGUCUGACCCAGCCAUGCCGCGUGGAGGAUGAAGGUCCUCUGGAUUGUAAACUUCUUUUCUCUGGGGCGAAAAAAGGGCAUUCUUGCUCACUUGACAGUACCAGAGGAAUAAGCACCGGCUAACUCCGUGCCAGCAGCCGCGGUAAUACGGAGGGUGCAAGCGUUAUCCGGAUUCACUGGGUUUAAAGGGUGCGUAGGUGGGGAGGUAAGUCAGCGGUGAAAUCCCCGAGCUUAACUUGGGAACUGCCAUUGAUACUAUCUCUCCUGAAUACCUUGGAGGUGAGCGGAAUAUGUCAUGUAGCGGUGAAAUGCUUAGAUAUGACAUAGAACACCAAUUGCGAAGGCAGCUCACUACACGGUCAUUGACACUGAGGCACGAAAGCGUGGGGAUCAAACAGGAUUAGAUACCCUGGUAG
rnacentral:rRNA from 1 species